GAGCAAGUCCAAAUGCUCACGACUGCUGCAUAGCAGCUGCAUCCCCGAGAUGUAAAAGGGAUGAAAGCUCCACUAGUGGCUCCACCCUGGCGAGAUUGUCGGACCUACAUAGAGCAAUCUGGGCAAUGGUGGGAGCACACGAAUGCAGCCUAGGCCUCAUGCUGAGGACCACUGUCAGCUGAAUUGACUUCAUGUCCUUCACUCUGACACCUUCGGGGCCCCUUAGGGAGACUAUCGACAAGACCAAUCACCGAAGUCCUCCAAGGGGGAUGCCCACUCCAAUUCUCUCCUACGAUGACAUCACUCCUGGU
rnacentral:lncRNA from 1 species